GGGGAAUAUUGGACAAUGGGCGAAAGCCUGAUCCAGCCAUGCCGCGUGUGUGAAGAAGGUCUUCGGAUUGUAAAGCACUUUAAGUUGGGAGGAAGGGCUGCAAGUUAAUACCUUGUAGUUUUGACGUUACCAACAGAAUAAGCACCGGCUAACUUCGUGCCAGCAGCCGCGGUAAUACGAAGGGUGCAAGCGUUAAUCGGAAUUACUGGGCGUAAAGCGCGCGUAGGUGGUUUGGUAAGAUGGAUGUGAAAGGUACCGGCUCAACCGGUGACAUGCAUUUGAAACUGAAAGACUUGAGUAUUGGAGAGGCAAGUGGAAUUCCUAGUGUAGCGGUGAAAUGCGUAGAUAUUAGGAGGAACACCGGUGGCGAAGGCGGCUUGCUGGACAAAUACUGACGCUGAGGUGCGAAAGCGUGGGGAGCAAACA
rnacentral:rRNA from 1 species